UGUAUUUAAAAGGUAAGUGAUUCAGUAUCCUAGUCGGGGAUAUCUUUUUUGAAGGCGGGCCUAAAAAUCCGUCAAGGGCACAUCGAUGAAGUUCCUGGUGCUGGCUACCAGCGCCCAGCCGGGGGCUGGUACUGGGAGUUAAGGCAGUGGGGCGAUCUGUAAUGGCAUGCAGGCGUUGACCCCGCUGCCGUGGAGACCCAAGUUUGUGGGGAUGCCGGCCUGUUCAGGGUUUGCUUAACUAUGGCUUGGGGUGUGAACCUGCAUGUGGUAGGCAGCUGCGUGCAGUGUAGCCUGCCUUGAGUGGCAGCGGUGGAUGCCGCUUGAAGAAGCGGCUGUGGGCACGGGCCCGUGCCCGGCAUGCUUAAGGCUGAAACCGUUGGUGCAAAAGAGGCUAGAGAAAGACCACCCGCGGAGGAAAACUCCUAGGCUGAUCGGUAAAUACCGGGACAGCACGGGGAUUAAAGUGUGGACUAAGUGGUAAUUCAGUCCUGGGCUUUGCCCAGAGGCAGGCUGAAAGGGAAACCACCGGGUUGGCGACAACCGGCGUCCCGCCUGGGAAAACCUACUGGACCUAAGCCACAAUAUUUACCCGUGCUGUUAUCACUUACCCUCCUUUUAGG
rfam:Desulfotomaculum sp. 46_80 MPI_scaffold_233, whole genome shotgun sequence.